rnacentral:rRNA from 1 species
AUAAAUUAUAAUAAAAUAUUAGAAAUUAUAAAAAUUAGAAUAGUAACAUUUAUUAAAAUUUUUUUUCUAAGCCAUAGAUUAAAUACCGAGAGGGAAUAAUUGAAAUAAAAAUGAUUAUUAAUUUUUAAAAAAGAGAUAUUAAAGUAUUUACCUUUUGUAUUAUGGAUAAUUGAAAAAAUUAAAGUUAUUAAAUUUUAUAAACGAAAUAAAGUGAGCUACUAUAUUCCCUAUUUUUGGUGGUAUUUCUUUCUGUAGAAAAAGACAAGGAAUGAGGAUAUAGUUGAAGUGAAAUUCUUAACGGACUUUAUUAUAGCUUUUUCUUAAGGAAAUGAGUAUUAGCUUACUUUUAUAUAAAAUAAAGUUAAAAAUAAUUGGUUGAUCAGUUAUUUUUUAAGAAAAAAAAUUCGUCAACUUAAGUAAAAUCAUUAAAUUACUAUAUUUCUAUUUUAUUAAUAAGUAGGAUUUAAGUAUCUUUCUUUUGGAGUGUGUUUGAACUCUUUAAUAAAAAUUUAAUAAAAAAUUAUUGAUUAUUAUAUUAAAUUUAUCUUAUUAGGAAUACUUAAGUUAUCUUUUUUAAGAUAAAAUAAUGGUUAUAUUAGUAAAAUUUUAUCUAUUUUUAUAAAUAAAUAGCUAUUAAAGUAAAAAUUCAAUUAAUCUUUUUUAAAAAAUAUACUUAUUUUAGUGGAUAAAUUUUUUUUAGCAAAAAUAGGAAAAGGAACUCGGCAAAAAUUUUUCUCGCCUGUUUACCUAAAACAUCGCCUUUGGUAAAAUAUCAAAAGGUCCUGCCUGCCCGGUGAUUAUAAAAAUUAAACGGCUGCGGUACUCUGACCGUGCAAAGGUAGCAUAAUCAUUAGCCUGUUAAUUUCAGGCUGGAAUCAAUGGCAAGACGAAGAAAAAGCUGUCUCUUUCUAUUAUUUUAGAAUUUUUCUUUUUGGUGAAGAGACCAAAAUAAAUAAGUGGGACGAGAAGACCCUAUUGAGCUUUAGUUAGUUAAAAGAAAAAAGUUUUUUUAAAUAACUUUGGUUGGGGCAACUGUUUUUAGAAUUAAACAUUAAUAAAAUAAAAAUGAAUUAAAUCUUUAAUAUAUAAAACCCAGAAAUUUUUAUUCUGCACUUAAAAAAAGUUACCUUAGGGAUAACAGCGUAAUUCUUUUUGAGAGUACAUAUUGACAAAAGAGUUUGCGACCUCGAUGUUGGAUCAAGAUUUCCUGGAGGUGUAGUGGUUUCCAAGGGUUGGUUUGUUCAACCAUGAAAAUCUUACGUGAUCUGAGUUCAGUCCGUCGUGAGACAGGACAGUUUCUAUCUACUUAGUUUUUCUUUUUUGUACGAAAGGACUUUAAGAAAAAAAAUAAAUUUUAAAAAAUAUUUUUUAUGCAAAAUAUGAAUAAUAUAAUAUUAUUUUGUUAUCUACCUUAAUUAAGGAUAA